UGCUCCCGAGAUGUGACGAGAGUGCUCCUCGAGCUCGUGCGAUCUAAAUGUGCACGAUGCAAGUAUUAAAUACUGUAAUAUUUAUCUUAAAAGUAUGACACAAUAGAAGUUUAUGAUUUAGAAUAAAAAACACGCACAAGUAAAAAUGAAUCGUGUUAAUCUCUGGCAGUAAACUAUUUAUCCCAUGAUGCAACACACACGAGUUUAGCGGGAAGUCUGAUAGCCAUGUUUGAAUUCACCGGAUGUUUAUUUCCAGAAGAAAAGUAUAAACAAACACGACGAUAGCCUAAAAACGAAGUUUGUUUCCCGUCUUACUGAAGAAGAUCGACUUACUUCAAGUUACUGACGAAUGAAUAUUAGCUUUCUCGUUGUUUUUGACGACCGAUGCAUAUUUUUACCGACAAACAUCGUCACGAGACAGGGGUUUCGAUGAUUAAUUUAUCACAGAUUACACGGCCGAAGGAAACGCAGUACCGAUCCAUGUGUUACAAUCAGACUGAGUCUGCAUGCAGUACAUUCUGGAAUGAGGAACACCGCAUGCAUUGUGGUCCAAAUUGAUGGCAUUGACUUAACACAAAGCAGAAAGGAAUGAAGAGAAAUUAAGAAGUUUAUGUUUCACAUUAAUUAAGAUU